rnacentral:rRNA from 1 species
AUUGAACGCUGGCGGCAGGCCUAACACAUGCAAGUCGAACGAGUGGCGGACGGGUGAGUAAUGUCUGGGAAACUGCCUGAUGGAGGGGGAUAACUACUGGAAACGUUAGCUACUACCGCAUACCAUCCGAUUUGCCCAGAUGGGAUUAGCGUGCUGGUGGGGUAACGGCUCACCAAGGCGACGAUCCCUAGCUGGUCUGAGAGGAUGACCAGCCACACUGGAACUGAGACACGGUCCAGACUCCUACGGGAGGCAGCAGUGGGGAAUAUUGCGCAAUGGGCGAAAGCCUGAUGGAGCCAUGCCGCGUGUAUGAAGAAGGCCUUCGGGUUGUAAAGUACUUUCAGCGGGGAGGCGUUACCCACAGAAGAAGCACCGGCUAACUCCGUGCCAGCAGCCGCGGUAAUUC